rnacentral:rRNA from 1 species
AGCGAACGCUGGCGGCAGGCUUAACACAUGCAAGUCGAACGGGCACUUCGGUGUCAGUGGCAGACGGGUGAGUAACGCGUGGGAACAUACCUCUUGGUUCGGAACAACACAGGGAAACUUGUGCUAAUACCGGAUAAGCCCUUACGGGGAAAGAUUUAUCGCCGAGAGAUUGGCCCGCGUCUGAUUAGCUAGUUGGUGUGGUAAAAGCGCACCAAGGCGACGAUCAGUAGCUGGCUGAGAGGAUGAUCAGCCACAUUGGGACUGAGACACGGCCCAAACUCCUACGGGAGGCAGCAGUGGGGAAUAUUGGACAAUGGGCGCAAGCCUGAUCCAGCCAUGCCGCGUGAGUGAUGAAGGCCCUAGGGUUGUAAAGCUCUUUUGUACGGGAAGAUAAUGACGGUACCGUAAGAAUAAGCCCCGGCUAACUUCGUGCCAGCCGCCGCCGU